GACGAACGCUGGCGGCGUGCUUAACACAUGCAAGUCGAACGGAAAGGCCCUGCUUUUGUGGGGUGCUCGAGUGGCGAACGGGUGAGUAACACGUGAGUAACCUGCCCUUGACUUUGGGAUAACUUCAGGAAACUGGGGCUAAUACCGGAUAUGAGCUCCUGCUGCAUGGGGGGGGUUGGAGAGUGUCGGCGGUUGGGGAUGGACUCGCGGCUUAUCAGCUUGUUGGUGGGGUAGUGGCUUACCAAGGCUUUGACGGGUAGCCGGACUGAGAGGGUGACCGGCCACAUUGGGACUGAGAUACGGCCCAGACUGCUACGGGAGGCAGCAGUGGGGAAUAUUGCACAAUGGGCGGAAGCCUGAUGCAGCAACGCCGCGUGCGGGAUGACGGCCUUCGGGUUGUAAACCGCUUUCGCCUGUGACGAAGCGUGAGUGACGGUAAUGGGUAAAGAAGCACCGGCUAACUACGUG
rnacentral:rRNA from 1 species